CUCUCCGUCGCCAUCCGUUGGGCUGGAGGAUAAACCAUGCACUACACUAGGAGGAAAAUGUUGUUCUGCAGUAUUAUUUAAACCAUGCUCAAUGGUGCAGUUUCUAGCAGCAACCAUAUGGAAGGAACAGCAUGCUAUGUGAAUCUUGGACCGCUUCCAAAUAAACAAGAGCUUUGUAGCGAGUAGAGUACAUGUAUGCAGUUGGUUGUUAUUUAAUGUAUAGACAGGAUGAUGACGUGAUGCUGUGGGACUGAGAUGCAGUUGCAGUGCAUUGACCAGCGGGCGGUCACAACAGCUGUCUUUCCCCUGUCUCUCUCACAAGGCAACCCAGGAUAGAAUCCAGGGCUCACGCAUCCCGCAGAACUGCCAGAUCCUAGUGUGUAUGCAUGUGCACCCGCCUGCGCAUAUGUGUGCGCGUGCCACCCUCCCCUCCUCCUUCCUCCCGGCAUCAUCCCUCGCUCUCCAUCAGGGAUGGUGAGGGAGUGUUUAUGUGCAUGUGUUGCGAAUCACACAGAAUGAUGGAGGACCAACAGCUCCCUGGAUAAACCCUGCAGACCAAAACAACACCACAACUCAAAUCAUGCACUUAAGGUGGGUGGAAAGAUGUAGCUGAGGAACAAACGGAAACCAAUCUUGACCGUUCACAAUCUCAGGUCUUCCCUGAAAGGGGCGUGGCCUGUGGAGUACCGCCCAACAUGUCCAAGAAACCCCACAGUGGGCGGCCCAAAGGGGAACGGCCUGAUGCCAUGGCAGCACUGCAGGCAGCCAAUGAGGAGCUGAGGGCCAAGCUCACUGAAAUCCAAAUAGAACUUCAGCAAGAGAAAACCAAGGUUAGAAUCUAGAUCUGCUAAUUGUUUGUUUACCAGAAUACAUGCGAAAGUGUUCUGACUCCAUUUCAGAAAUAUUAUUUUGUUUCUGUAUUAUCAUUUGCCUACAUUCAGUCUGGAAAUGGCUUCUCAGCUGCAAUAUUGCUUUUAAUGUUGACCUCAUUUCCUUCUGUAUAUUUGAAUGAUUUAUUUUCUCUAUAGAGUUCAGUCUCUUUGUUGUCACAUCAUCUGCUUAUGUAAAUACGAUUGCCUUUUAAUUCUUGUUCUCUAAGAGUAAAGACUUUAUGGCUUCAUUAGCACUGGGAAACAGAGUUAAAUGAGGGUGAAACAAACUAUAGGCAUUCUGUCAAAGCUGGUUCAAUGUCAGUCUACAGUAGCUUGUGAAUGACAGCAGGUCAGGUGGAAAUGAUUUGGCUUAGUCCAUUUCUUGUGUCUUUUUGAUCUCAAGGGUGAGGUUGGUCUUUGAGAGGCAUGAGAGUAUCCAAACCAUCCAUUUCAUGGCCUGAUGAUUGACGGUGUGAACCUCUGUUCUUAUGAACAUCUCAUUUGAUUUGAUCAAGGUUGAGCACAACUCACUAAUGUCUCAGUUGUUAUGUUUUUGCAUUGAACUGAAGACAUUCUCGGAGAUGAAAUACUAAUGUACUAGAUUAAACCUGUGAUCUAAACCUGCUCAUAAAUAAUUAAAAACAAAAUAGAGCCACUUGGAAAAGACGCAAUGAAAUUCAGAAUGUGAUUAAAAGUAGAGUGAAAAACCAUUUAAAGUCCAGUGGGGUUCACAUUUCGGGAAAAGUUAAAAUGGUCUUUUGUCAUAGGCUUUUGAAACUUAGACUGAAAAUGGCUACAAUUUUUUUUCUUCUUCUUUAUUGCCAGUUCAGCCUGUAAUAGAGCAAAUAAACAGCUUGUUCGUGUACUCUUUCAUUCUUUCUUGUCUCUUUGGUAAUCGACAAUCAGUAAUCUGUAUCAGAAUCAGCCCAUUUGCUUACAAUUGGAAUUGUCCAUGACAAAUCAUGAUUGGUGCAUUUGUAGUUUUUGUAGAUAGCCUACUGGUUAGUUUCCUCAAACUGAAUCCACUUAAACUGGUAUAGACACACAUAAACACACACAGUGAUAGUGUGUACCUGGUAUU
rnacentral:lncRNA from 1 species